rnacentral:rRNA from 1 species
UACGUAGGGUGCAAGCGUUAAUCGGAAUUACUGGGCGUAAAGCGUGCGCAGGCGGCUUUGCAAGACAGAUGUGAAAUCCCCGGGCUCAACCUGGGAAUGGCAUUUGGGACUGCAAGGCUGGAGUACGGCAGAGGAGACUGGAAUUCCUGGUGUAGCAGUGAAAUGCGUAGAUAUCAGGAGGAAUACCGAUGGCGAAGGCAGGUCUCUGGGCUGAUACUGACGCUCAUGCACGAAAGCGUGGGGAGCAAACAGG